rnacentral:rRNA from 1 species
UGUUGGUGAGGUAGUGGCUCACUAAAGGCGACGACGGGUAGCCGGCCUGAGAGGGCGACCGGCCACACUGGGACUGAGACACGGCCCAGACUCCUACGGGAGGCAGCAGUGGGGAAUAUUGCACAAUGGGCGAAAGCCUGAUGCAGCGACGCCGCGUGAGGGAUGACGGCCUUCGGGUUGUAAACCUCUUUCAGCAGGGAAGAAGCGAAAGUGACGGUACCUGCAGAAGAAGCGCCGGCUAACUACGUGCCAGCAGCCGCGGUAAUACGUAGGGCGCAAGCGUUGUCCGGAAUUAUUGGGCGUAAAGAGCUCGUAGGCGGCUUGUCACGUCGGUUGUGAAAGCCCGGGGCUUAACCCCGGGUCUGCAGUCGAUACGGGCAGGCUAGAGUUCGGUAGGGGAGAUCGGAAUUCCUGGUGUAGCGGUGAAAUGCGCAGAUAUCAGGAGGAACACCGGUGGCGAAGGCGGAUCUCUGGGCCGAUACUGACGCUGAGGAGCGAAAGCGUGGGGAGCGAACAGGAUUAGAUACCCUGGUAGUCCACGCCGUAAACGGUGGGCACUAGGUGUGGGCAAC